AUUGAACGCUGGCGGCAGGCUUAACACAUGCAAGUCGAGCGGAGCGAGGGUGCUUGCACCUUAGCUUAGCGGCGGACGGGUGAGUAAUGCUUAGGAAUCUGCCUAUUAGUGGGGGACAACAUUCCGAAAGGAAUGCUAAUACCGCAUACGCCCUACGGGGGAAAGCAGGGGAUCUUCGGACCUUGCGCUAAUAGAUGAGCCUAAGUCGGAUUAGCUAGUUGGUGGGGUAAAGGCCUACCAAGGCGACGAUCUGUAGCGGGUCUGAGAGGAUGAUCCGCCACACUGGGACGGGGACACGGCCCAGACUCCUACGGGAGGCAGCAGUGGGGAAUAUUGGACAAUGGGCGGAAGCCUGAUCCAGCCAUGCCGCGUGUGUGAAGAAGGCCUUUUGGUUGUAAAGCACUUUAAGCGAGGAGGAGGCCACUUAGAUUAAUACUCUGGGAUAGUGGACGUUACUCGCAGAAUAAGCACCGGCUAACUCUGUGCCAGCAGCCGCCGUAAGAC
rnacentral:rRNA from 1 species